rnacentral:tRNA from 1 species
GCCCCGUUAGCUCAGCUGGUAGAGCAGGAAGCUCUUAACUUCAAGGUCGUGGGUUCGAGUCCCUCACGGGGCA